GAUUUUGGUAGUCAGUGAGAGUAUUGAUGAGUAUGAGAAGUCGAAAUUUGUAAAACUUUUGAGCCAAAGGGUGUUGUGGGAUGCUGUGGCUGCUUCCCAUAUUUUUCUUUUUUCAACAUUGGAGGGAGGGAAUAGG